UAAACUAGGAUUAGAUACCCUAUUAUUAUACAUUUAAAAUUUUGACCUGGGUAGUAAUAGUUAUGUUCUUUAAACCUAAAGAAUUUGGCGGUGUUUUAUUCUGUUCAGAGGAAUUUGCCCCUUAAUCGAUAGUCCUCGUUAUAUCUUACUUUAUUUUGUUGUCAGUAUGUAUACCUCCGUUAUAAGUUUAUUUUUUUAGAAUAAAAAUUUACUGGAUUUUUAAUUUUAAUUUAUUUCAAGUCAAGGUGCAG
rnacentral:rRNA from 1 species